AUAAGUAGUUUUCAUUGCCAGCAAGCAAAGUGUCUAUUGGCUGAUUGAAAUCGUAGUAUGUGCACCCAGCUUUAGUGAAACCCACAUGCAACUAUACCAUAAAUAUUGAUGGGCUUACAUAUGGGAGGGCCUAAUUACGGGAGGGGGGCUUAUGUACAGACAACAUUUAAUGUUAGUAAUAAUACUUAUUGUACCUGUAAACUAUACCGUGAACGAAAAGAAAUACAAACAUACACUGUAUAAUUAUAAUCCAC